rnacentral:tRNA from 1 species
GUUUUUCUAGUAUAAUAGUACAUUUAACUUCCAAUUAAAAAGAUUGAUAAUAAUCAAGAAAAACA